CCCAGACUCCUACGGGAGGCAGCAGUGGGGAAUAUUGCACAAUGGGGGAAACCCUGAUGCAGCGACGCCGCGUGAGUGAAGAAGUAUUUCGGUAUGUAAAGCUCUAUCAGCAGGAACGAGACAAGACGGUACCUGACUAAGAAGCCCCGGCUAACUACGUGCCAGCAGCCGCGGUAAUACGUAGGGGGCAAGCGUUAUCCGGAUUUACUGGGUUUAAAGGGUGCGUAGGCGGUCUGUUAAGUCAGCGGUAAAAUUGCGGGGCUCAACCCCGUGGAGCCGUUGAAACUGGCAGACUUGAGUUGGCGAGAAGUACGCGGAAUGCGCGGUGUAGCGGUGAAAUGCAUAGAUAUCGCGCAGAACUCCGAUUGCGAGGGCAGCGUACCGGCGCCACACUGACGCUGAGGCACGAAAGCGUGGGGAUCGAACAGGAUUAGAUACCCUGGUAC
rnacentral:rRNA from 1 species